UUGAACGCUGGCGGCAGGCCUAACACAUGCAAGUCGAGCGGUUGAGAGUAGCUUGCUACUUGAUGCAGCGGCGGACGGGUGAGUAACGCGUGGGAAUCUGCCCAGUAGUGAGGGACAACAGCCGGAAACGGCUGCUAAUACCGCAUACGCCCUACGGGGGAAAGGGGGGGAUCUUCGGACCUCUCGCUAUUGGAUGAGCCCGCGUCGGAUUAGCUAGUUGGUAGGGUAAAGGCCUACCAAGGCUACGAUCCGUAACUGGUCUGAGAGGAUGAUCAGUCACACUGGAACGGAGCAACGGUCCAGACUCCUACGGGAGGCAGCAGUGGGGAAUAUUGGACAAUGGGGGAAACCCUGAUCCAGCCAUGCCGCGUGUGUGAAGAAGGCCUUAGGGUUGUAAAGCACUUUCAGUGGGGAGAAAGGUUUGUCACCUAAUACGUGAUGAAAUUGAUGUUACCCACAGAAGAAGCACCGACUAACUCCGUGCCAGCCGCCGCAGUAAUAC
rnacentral:rRNA from 1 species